rnacentral:rRNA from 1 species
AUUGAACGCUGGCGGCAGGCCUAACACAUGCAAGUCGAACGAGUGGCGGACGGGUGAGCUAUGUCUGUGAAACUGCCUGAUGGAGGGGGAUAACUACUGGACACGGUAGCUAAUUCCGCCUACCAUCGGCUGUGCCCAGAUGGGAUUAGCUAGUAGGUGGGGUAAAGGCUCACCUAGGCGACGAUCCUUAGCUGGUCUGUGAGGAUGACCAGUCACACUGGAACGGAGACACGGUCCAGACUCCUACGGGAGGCAGCAGUGGGGAAUAGUGCACAAUGGGCGCAAGCCUGAUGCAGCCAUGCCGCGUGUGUGAAGAAGGCCUUCGGGUUGUAAAGCACUUUCAGAGGGGAGGCGUUACCCACAGAAGAAGCACCGGCUAACUCCGUGCCAGCAGCCGCGGUAAUAC